ACGGUCUCAUGCAUGUCAGUCUGUCCUUAGACUUACUGCGAUACUCCCGUUCUUAUCUCCCUAGUUCUGGGAAAAUAAUGAUGGCAUUGCAGGCACACACUACCAUGCUGAGUUCAUUAUUUUUGACUUAGGCAAUUAAGUUCAUUUUCUACAAAUAAUGAAAGAUUUAGCAUCCCUAAAAUAAAUGUUAUUAUAAUUCAGCAGGACCAGCCACCCUUAUGUGAGAAGGGUGACCUUAUUCAAAUGAAAGUUGGUUUGGAAGAGGCUAUAUGAAAAUUGUUUGUAGAUUGUGGUGACCUCAGGUUAUGAAGGAACACUUGUGUCAACAUUAAGUGUGGAAACAUUUUCUUUGAAUCAGGGUUCCAGCAACCGAAUCAGGAGUUACAGAAAACUAGGCUGGUUUUUUUCCCCUUUCCUCCUCUGCCAGGAACACUCAUGCUAGUUAGAUGCUAUCUCUGUAAGUCCAUUAGCUAGCACAGUGUACAUAUAUAGUAGGGACCCAGUAAAAUAGCUUUAAUGUCCCUCUUUUCUGUUCCUCUCUCUCUUUGCCAUGGUCUGCCAAAUGUGUAAGUUAUUAAUUGAAGUUAGGUAAUAAUUAUUUGAGUACCUAUGACAUAAGAAACAUUGCAAUAAAUGUCAUGGGCUUUUGAAGUAAGUCCAGAAAAAUCACCCUAGACUUGAUUCCCACAGUAUAAAAAAAAAAAAAAAAACCAUGAUGUUUUCUAGAAUGAGCAGUGCUGGAGAGUGCAACAGACACUUAAUAAGGAUACAACUAGGAAGAUUUAGUAUAGAGAAUGAAGGGAACAUUAGGAUAGGAAAAUGGUUGAAAAUAAGACAACAUGAGACCAGGGGCUCUGGCUUGUAUUCCAGGCACUUGGCAGAUAGUUUGUGCUAAGUGGUGAGUUCUAUAUCAGCCUGAGGUACUCAGCAUU
rnacentral:lncRNA from 1 species